rnacentral:lncRNA from 1 species
GCAUGCUCUUCAACAGAUCGCUGCCCACACCUGCCCGCCCGUCCAGCAUCACUACUCUGGACGGUUCUGACUUAGAAUAUGUGGACAACUACAAAUACCUAGGUGUCUGGUUAGACUGUAAACUGUCCUUCCAGACUCACAUUAAGCAUCUCCAAUCCAAAAUUAAAUCUAGAAUCUGCUUCCUAUUUCGCAACAAAGCAUCCUUCUCUCGUGCUGCCAAACAUACCCUCGUAAAACCGACUAUCCUACCGAUCCUUGACUUUGGCGAUGUUAUUUACAAAAUAGCCUCCAACACUCUACUCAGCAAACUGGAUGCAGUCUAUUACAAUGCCAUCCGUUUUGUCACCAAAGCCCCAUAUACUACCCACCACUGCAAUCUGUAUGCUCUCGUUGGCUGGCCCUCGCUUCAUAUUCGUCACGAAACCCACUGGCUCCAGGUCAUCUAUAAGUCUUUGCUAGGUAAAGCCCCACCUUAUCUCAGCUCACUGGUCACCAUAGCAGCACCCACCUGUAGCACGCGCUCCAGCAGGUAUAUCUCACUGGUCACCCCCAAAGCCAAUUCCUCCUUUGGCCGCCUUUCCUUCCAGUUCUCUGCUGCCAAUGACUGGAACGAACUGCAAAAAUCACUGAAUCUGGAGACUCAUAUCUCCCUCACUAACUUUAAGCACCAGCUGUCAGAGCAGCUCACAGAUCACUGCACCUGUACAUAGCCCAUCCCAUCUGUAAAUAACCCAUCCAACUACCUCAUCCCCCAUACUGUUAUUUAUUUCACUCCUUUGCACCCCAGUUUCUCUACUUGCACACUCAUCUUUUGCACAUCUAUCACUCCAGUGUUUAAUUGCUAUAUUGUAAUUAUUUCGCCACUAAGGCCUAUUUAUUGCCUUACCUCCCUUAUCCUACCUCAUUUGCACACACUGUAUAUAUACUUUUUUCUAUUGUAUUAUUGACUGCAUGUUUGUUUAUUCCAUGUGUAACUCUGUGUGUUGUUUGUGUCGCACUGCUUUGCUUUAUCUUGGCCAGGUCGCUGUUAUAAAUGAGAACUUGAUCUCAACUAGCCUAGCUGGUUAAAUAAAGGUGAAAUAAUUUAAAAAAUAAAAUGUACCCGGAAAAGGUUAAAAACAGUAUUAUGGUGUUUCGAGUUCUGUGUAGGGCAAAAUUCGAUCCCUUCUCUUUUGGUGUUGCUUCCUCUCUUUAAAGCUCCUAAACACUAUUAUGGCGUUUCCAAUCCUGUCUAGUGCAGACUUACAUCCCUUCUUUUGGAGUUUCCAAAUACUGUAAAUGGGAGUCCCUCUUAUUGUAGGCCUAUAAUCCCUGCUCUUAUAUGGUGUGUUGACAAACAUUGAUAAUUCCAAAAGGUCAAAUGUACAUUAAACUUACUGUAUGCUUCCCUGUUUAAACAGUUUUGACAUAUAUUAUGAUGACAUUUUGUGCUGUUUUUGAUCAUAUUGGUGUUCGGUAGCGUUCGGCAGGCAUUUUUUUUCAGAUGUUCGAGCAAAAAUAAAAAAAUGAUUGAGGCUUGAUGAAGUUCCGAAGUCUACGCCCCUUCUUUGAUGAUUGGUCAACAGUAGGGAUUCUUUAAUGAAGUGUUUGUUGUCAUUCUAUGACAGAUGACUAGUUUUCAUGCACAUUUUUUCACUUCAGAAAUACUGCACCAAAAAUCUUAGUUAGAUGUAAAAAUUCGCGAUUAAGACCACCUCAACAAAAACGUUAAUGACAGACUUCUUGAGUUAUCAUAGAUGAAUUCGGACUAUUUGGAGAACGUGUACUGGUUUACGCCGUCUCAAGAGGGACAAACAGUAAUAUUGCCGCUUUCUUGUCGUUUUUCAAGCGAGGGUAUUUUAAGGGAGUAUGCGAGCGCAGACGUUCACGUCGCCUAGCCGAGUUCUGCUAGGAGCAAACCUGAACAUGUGUAUGCGGACGCCUUUAUUCUCAAUCAAAGGACAUAAGAAAAUAUAGUUUUGUCCAGGAUAAUAAAUUAUGAGUACAAACCUACUUCAAAUGCUUUAUCUUUUCUUUGCAAAUUAUCAAAUGACAACAAGACAUUAUCACAUCUUUCACAUUUUAUAUUGAUAAAGUAAGAUAGUUCAAAGAUCUGUAAGGUAUUGUGACGACCCUGGGUAGUCAGGUCAUUACAGUAUUUAUCACAUUCAUAUUCUUCAAAAAUAAAGUGAGAUAUGGCCUUCAAUUUAACAUUCAUAGAAGAAGAAAAUGCACGCAAUGACUGCUAAUGUUAGCGAACAAACUGCAAAACUGAAGCCAGACGCUUUACUCCCAUCUAGUGGACGUUCUUUAUAUUGCACCUAGUGGUUGCACUUCCUGUGCUCGUGACCGCAGAAGACAAAACAGGAAGUAGUUGAUUGUUGUUAGCUAGCUACUGUUUGACUCCCGAAUGAACUCAUUUUACAUCCUUCAUCAUCCUGUCUUUCAUAGCCCUCAUGCUAGCACCAUCUCUACGUUUAACUUUCCUUUAUGUUUUAUGAAUACUUUAAUGUCAUUGUUUAUCCGCUUAUAUAACUAUUUACAACAUCAAAAAGAUCGCUUGCCAAAAUGGUCUUUGCCGUUGUCAUGGAGAUGUAUUGUGUAUAGCCUAGCUGUUUGCUAGCCCAUUGAGCCAAUGUGACUAUGUAGCCUCUGUUUUCCUCAUGCUACAGUAGGUAAUAAGUAUGUGUUUGCAUCCAAUUGUACAGUAUGUUCAUCCUAGUAUACUUACCCAUUCUACAUACCUAUUUUGACCUGUUGCCAAGGAGGCCCUUGACAAAAGAUGACUGGAGGCCAUUGUUGGUAAAGGUUAUGUGGUGGAGAAAUGUGGCUUCAACAAAGAAGAGGAUCUUUAGAUACUUAAGUAAAAGCUGAAUGAAGAAGGCCUCAAAGGGAUUAGCAGGUGUAAAUAU